GCUGGCGGCGUGCCUAACACAUGCAAGUCGAACGCGGUUAGUAGCAAUACUAACUGAGUGGCAAACGGGUGAGUAACACGUGGGUGACCUACCUUCGAGUGGGGGAUAACGUCCCGAAAGGGACGCUAAUACCGCAUAACAUCCUGUCCUUGAACGGAUGGAGAUCAAAGCCGGGGAUCGCAAGACCUGGCGCUUGAUGAGGGGCCCGCGUCUGAUUAGCUAGUUGGUGAGGUAACGGCCCACCAAGGCAACGAUCAGUAUCCGGCCUGAGAGGGCGGACGGACACACUGGGACUGAGACACGGCCCAGACUCCUACGGGAGGCAGCAGUGGGGAAUUGUUCACAAUGGGCGCAAGCCUGAUGACGCAACGCCGCGUGGAGGAUGAAGGUCUUCGGAUUGUAAACUCCUGUUGCUCGGGACGAAAAGCCUCGACCUAAUACGUCGAGGUCUGACGGUACCGAGUGAGGAAGCCCCGGCUAACUCUGUGCCAGCAGCCGCGGUAAUACAGAGGGGGCAAGCGUUGUUCGGAAUUACUGGGCGUAAAGGG
rnacentral:rRNA from 1 species